rnacentral:rRNA from 1 species
UACGUAGGGUGCAAGCGUUGUCCGGAAUUAUUGGGCGUAAAGAGCUCGUAGGCGGUCUGUCACGUCGGCUGUGAAAACCCGAGGCUCAACCUCGGGCCUGCAGUCGAUACGGGCAGACUAGAGUUCGGUAGGGGAGACUGGAAUUCCUGGUGUAAGCGGUGAAAUGCGCAGAUAUCAGGAGGAACACCGGUGGCGAAGGCGGGUCUCUGGGCCGAAACUGGACGCUGAGGAGCGAAAGCGUGGGGAGCGAACAGG